UACGAAGGGGGCUAGCGUUGUUCGGAAUCACUGGGCGUAAAGCGCACGUAGGCGGACUUUCAAGUCAGGGGUGAAAUCCCGGGGCUCAACCUCGGAAUUGCCUUUGAUACUGUAGGUCUCGAGUCCGGAAGAGGUGGGUGGAAUUCCUAGUGUAGAGGUGAAAUUCGUAGAUAUUAGGAAGAACACCGGUGGCGAAGGCGGCCCACUGGUCCGGUACU
rnacentral:rRNA from 1 species